AAGUUAUCGGUGGAUAGCCCAGUCAGAGUAAAUUUAUGGUAUCAAUGGGUUAAAGAGAGAUAAGAGGUUGGAAAACCUAGUUUGUUGGGAUGUACUAUAGUGACCUAUGAAAUGUUCUUAAUGCCUGUUUUGUAAGCUGCAGAUUAUAGUAUCGAGAUGGGAUUAUUGUAUAGAGUUGCGUGCAUCCCCAUGGUGUUUUAUGAUGAGGGUGCUUGUAGACAGCCUCUAUUUUAGUAUAGUUAUGCUAGGACAAAGUUCUAUAUCUAUAGAGGAG
rnacentral:misc_RNA from 1 species